rnacentral:rRNA from 1 species
AGUGAACGCUGGCGGUAGGCCUAACACAUGCAAGUCGAACGGCAGCACAGUAAGAGCUUGCUCUUACGGGUGGCGAGUGGCGGACGGGUGAGGAAUCCAUCGGAAUCUACUUUUUCGUGGAGGAUAACGUAGGGAAACUUACGCUAAUACCGCAUACGACCUACGGGUGAAAGCAGUGGAUCUUCGGACCUUGCGCGAUUGAAUGAGCCGAUGUCGGAUUAGCUAGUUGGCGGGGUAAAGGCCCACCAAGGCGACGAUCCGUAGCUGGUCUGAGAGGAUGAUCAGCCACACUGGAACUGAGACACAGUCCAGACUCCUACGGGAGGCAGCAGUGGGGAAUAUUGGACAAUGGGCGCAAGCCUGAUCCAGCCAUACCGCGUGGGUGAAGAAGGCCUUCGGGUUGUAAAGCCCUUUUGUUGGGAAAGAAAAGCAGCAGGUUAAUACCCCGCUGUUCUGACGGUACCCAAAGAAUAAGCACCGGCUAACUUCGUG